rnacentral:rRNA from 1 species
CGUAUGGCGACCGGCGCACGGGUGAGUAACGCGUAUGCAACCUGCCCGAUACCGGGGUAUAGCCCAUGGAAACGUGGAUUAACACCCCAUAGUACUUUUAUCCUGCCUGGGAUGGGAGUUAAAUGUUCAAGGUAUCGGAUGGGCAUGCGUCCUAUUAGUUAGUUGGCGGGGUAACAGCCCACCAAGACGAUGAUAGGUAGAGGUUCUGAGAGGAAGGUCCCCCACAUUGGAACUGAGACACGGUCCAA